rfam:Loxodonta africana unplaced genomic scaffold scaffold_4, whole genome shotgun sequence.
ACAAUGGUGGUUCAGUGGUAGAAUUCUCGCCUUCCAUGUGGGAGACCCGGGUUCGAUUCCCUGCCAAUGAA